rnacentral:rRNA from 1 species
ACGUAGCCGAACUGAGAGGUUGAUCGGCCACAUUGGGACUGAGACACGGCCCAAACUCCUACGGGAGGCAGCAGUAGGGAAUCUUCCACAAUGGACGAAAGUCUGAUGGAGCAACGCCGCGUGAAUGAAGAAGGCCUUCGGGUCGUAAAAUUCUGUUGUCAGAGAAGAAUGUGCGUGAGAGUAACUGUUCACGUAUUGACGGUAUCUGACCAGAAAGCCACGGCUAACUACGUGCCAGCAGCCGCGGUAAUACGUAGGUGGCAAGCGUUGUCCGGAUUUAUUGGGCGUAAAGGGAACGCAGGCGGUCUUUUAAGUCUGAUGUGAAAGCCUUCGGCUUAACCGAAGUAGUGCAUUGGAAACUGGAAGACUUGAGUGCAGAAGAGGAGAGUGGAACUCCAUGUGUAGCGGUGAAAUGCGUAGAUAUAUGGAAGAACACCAGUGGCGAAAGCGGCUCUCUGGUCUGUAACUGACGCUGAGGUUCGAAAGCGUGGGUAGCAAACAGGAUUAGAUACCCUGGUAGUCCACGCCGUAAACGAUGAGUGCUAAGUGUUGGAGGGCUUCCGCCCUUCAGUGCUGCAGCUAACGCAUUAAGCACUCCGCCUGGGGAGUACGGUCGCAAGACUGAAACUCAAAGGAAUUGACGGGGGCCCGCACAAGCGGUGGAGCAUGUGGUUUAAUUCGAAGCAACGCGAAGAACCUUACCAGGUCUUGACAUCUUCUGACAAUUCCAGAGAUGGAACGUUCCCUUCGGGGACAGAAUGACAGGUGGUGCAUGGUUGUCGUCAGCUCGUGUCGUGAGAUGUUGGGUUAAGUCCCGCAACGAGCGCAACCCUUAUUGUCAGUUGCCAUCAUUAAGUUGGGCACUCUGGCGAGACUGCCGGUGACAAACCGGAGGAAGGUGGGGAUGACGUCAAAUCAUCAUGCCCCUUAUGACCUGGGCUACACACGUGCUACAAUGGACGGUACAACGAGUCGCUAACUCGCGAGGGCAAGCUAAUCUCUUAAAGCCGUUCUCAGUUCGGAUUGCAGGCUGCAACUCGCCUGCAUGAAGUCGGAAUCGCUAGUAAUCGCGAAUCAGCAUGUCGCGGUGAAUACGUUCCCGGGCCUUGUACACACCGCCCGUCACACCAUGAGAGUUUGUAACACCCAAAGUCGGUGGGGUAACCUUUUGGAGCCAGCCGCCUAAGGUGGGACAGAUGAUUGGGGUGAAGUCGGAACAAGGUA